rnacentral:rRNA from 1 species
CCUACGGGAGGCAGCAGUGAGGAAUAUUGGUCAAUGGGCGCAAGCCUGAACCAGCCAAGUCGCGUGAGGGAUGACGGUCCUAUGGAUUGUAAACCUCUUUUGUCGGGGAGCAAGGCCCGCCACGUGUGGCGGGAAGGAGAGUACCCGAAGAAAAAGCAUCGGCUAACUCCGUGCCAGCAGCCGCGGUAAUACGGGGGGUGCAAGCGUUGUACGGAAUCAUUGGGCGUAAAGCGUUCGUAGGCGGCAAGGUAAGUCUGAUGUUAAAGCCCGGGGCUCAACUCCGGUUCGGCAUUGGAUACUAUCUAGCUAGAAUGUGGUAGAGGUAAAGGGAAUGCCUGGUGUAGCGGUGAAAUGCGUAGAUAUCAGGAGGAACAUCGGUGGCGAAAGCGCUUUACUGGACCAUUAUUGACGCUGAGGAACGAAAGCCAGGGGAGCAAAUGGGAUUAGAUACCCUUGUAGUC